UACGGGGGGAGCAAGCGUUGUUCGGAUUUACUGGGCGUAAAGGGCGCGUAGGCGGUCGUGACAAGUCACCUGUGAAAUCUCCGGGCUUAACCCGGAAAGGUCAAGUGAUACUGUCGGACUAGAGUACAGAAGGGGCAACUGGAAUUCUCGGUGUAGCGGUGAAAUGCGUAGAUAUCAAGAGGAAUACCUGAGGUGAAGACGGGUUGCUAGGCCGACACUGACGCUGAAGCGCGAAAGCCAGGGGAGCAAACGGG
rnacentral:rRNA from 1 species